UACGUAGGGGGCAAGCGUUGUCCGGAUUUAUUGGGUUUAAAGGGUGCGUAGGCGGUCUUUUAAGUCAGUGGUGAAAGCCUCCAGCUCAACUGGAGAAAUGCCAUUGAUACUGGAAGACUUGAGUAUAGUUGAGGUAGGCGGAAUUGACAGUGUAGCGGUGAAAUGCAUAGAUAUUGUCAAGAACACCGAUUGCGAAGGCAGCUUACUAAACUAUAACUGACGCUGAGGCACGAAAGUGCGGGGAUCAAACAGG
rnacentral:rRNA from 1 species